CUUCGAUUUCGUUACUAACUGACACCGUGAUAGCAAGUUCAGAACUUUUGAACUUUAGUAUUACGAAGGAACUAGAGUUAUGCCAUAUCUCACGUCAUAUCUAGAUUAAUAUUUACGACUAUGUGAAGUCUCGAUAUAAAGAUCUUCAGACAAGUGGAUCUUGCUCCCAAAUGUGAUUUCCUAAAAACAUAAAUUUGUAGCUACUGUAUAUGCCGAAGGCGCUGAUGAUGGCGUCAAAUAUGAAAAAAGUGCAACUGGUUAAUAAACAUAGACCGAAUUGCGUGGUGACGAUCGCAGAAUAAAUGAGAUGUUGUCACUGUUAGAUCUUCUUGACUAUUCUACAUAAGAUAUAUAAAUUUUCCAUAGGUAUAAGUUAUACCUAUUUUAACUCAGGUUAAAUCGAGUUUUGUUUUUCCGAGUUGGCACAUCACUAGGUAUAACUACAUAAACGUUACUAAUAUACACACUCCUAAAACGCUGUUGUGCUUUGCCCAGCUUGACUUUGAUUAUGACUCACACAAUUACCAAAUCUAUUAUUAAGGUAUUUGAUUUGUUUAAGUUUUAAGAAGUUUGCGACGAAUUAUGACAUUUAAUGUUUAAACUCGAUGUUUAACAAGAGGCACGGACUCAAAUAACAUCAUGUUAACUAGGAAUAAAUUUAAACUCUAUGUGGUUGUCAAAUCUUGGCGACAACAAUAAAACGCAGAAAAACGUGAGAGAAACGCGAGUAUAAUCUAAGAAAAGAAUUAAAAACGCAUGGGAAAUCGUUGUCGACGACGUUGUCUUUGUGCUCCUGCACUCUUGCGGCUUCGUCGAGAACAUCGUCAUCAGGCCGUGGAACGGACGUUCAUGUCAAGGCCGCUCCGACAAAUGUGCGAAGAACAAGAUUCCAAAACGUGAAAACAUUUGUAUUGUUAUGUAAACUUAUGAUUUACGUAGGUACGCAUGGUCAAGAUUGUAAAACUAAACAAUUCAACGCUACGACACGAGAAAAAGUGUUUUUACGUUUGCAAUUUAAGAUUUAAGUUGUUACCUCUUGCACUGAGAUAAGAACCGGAUAAACAUCACAUAUGAUUGCAAGAAACUUCCUAUAUGGAAGUGCAAUACACGAAUUUCAUUUCUUUGUUAUACAAUUUGAAUAAUGCAAUUAAGCAAUGUUCAUAAACUUGUAUAUUAUUCACAA